AAUUAGCAGAAAUACAAUAAAGAAACCCUAACCUUAGUCAAUUUUCUUUUGCCCUCUUCUUUCUCUUCUCCUCCCUCUAACGGCGACCAACCCUCAGCCAUCGUCUCUCUGUUCCUCCUUCCGACCAGUCAUUGUCUCUCUCUUCCUCCUUCCGGCCAGCCAUCGUCUCACUCUUCCUCCGCUCCCCAGUGACGACCAGCCCGAGGGACAGGAAAGACCAUAGCCAGAGAUGCAGCAUUGAACGCCAUUCAAUCUCCUUUACUGGAUAUUGGCAUAGAGAGGGCUACUGGAAUUGUGUGGAAUAUAACUGGCGGUAGUGAUCUAACAUUAUUUGAGGAAGCUGCUCUUAAGAGACUCGCAAAAUGUGAUGUGGUUUGGAAGAAGACCCACACAAAAAGCAAAGUCGGGGAAGAAGCUUGGGUUGAGCCACGGGCUGAGGAGGCUUAUAAUCGGUAUAAACAAGCAUUGGAAGAGCUCGCUAGAAGUCAACCGACCGAUGAGCAAGGCCAGCCAAUCAUGCCACCGGAGGAAGAAACUCUCCCAUUUUGGUUGAACGUGGUUGGAGGCGUGUAUAACGGUAGAGCAUACGGCCUUUCCUCCGAGCGCAAUUAUCAUCGCCUCGAGUGUGGACUACAAGAAAACUAUAUUUGUGACAUCCGCCACCGGGCAAAGUGAGGACCUGAGGAGAUGCGGCGAACGAUUCAACAACUUUCUAGGAAUUAUGCGGAUUAACGAGAAAAAAGAAAGCAUGAAGAGAAGAUUAGGACUGCACUUAGGAACGACAUCGAGUCCCUCAAGGCUCAAGUGAACCACUUAAUCGGCUUGUUUCGUUCUCCGCCAAAAAGCCACAUUUAUGAAGAGGAUGAAAGUGAUGGAAACAAUAUAAAUGAUAAAGAUGAGGGGGAAUCCGAAGAUGAGGAGUGAUUUUAUGUUUGGUUGGAUUAUUGUUUAGUUGGAUGUUUACUUUGAAUAUUACAUUUUGAAGUUUGGUUGGAUAGUUUUGAUGUUUGAUGGGAUAAUUUGGAUGUUUGGAUAGUUUAUUAAGUUUUAUUGUUAUUAAUUUGUGUUUUAUUGUGGUUG